rnacentral:tRNA from 1 species
CCUUUGAUAGCUCAGUUGGUAGAGCGGGGGACUGUAGAUCCCUAGGUCACUGGUUCAAAUCCGGUUCGAAGGA